rnacentral:rRNA from 1 species
UACGUAGGGUGCAGGCGUUAAUCGGAAUUACUGGGCGUAAAGCGUGCGCAGGCGGUUUGUUAAGACAGAUGUGAAAUCCCCGGGCUUAACCGGGGAACUGCGUCUGAUACUGGAUGGCUUGAGUGUGGGAGAGGGAUGCGGAAUUCCAGGUGUAGCGGUGAAAUGCGUAGAUAUCUGGAGGAACACCGGUGGCGAAGGCGGCAUCCUGGACCAACACUGACGCUGAGUGAGCGAAAGCCAGGGGAGCAAACGGG